rnacentral:ncRNA from 1 species
UAAUUUUAAUGCUGUUUCAUCGCUCAUUGGGAGUAUAGUUUGCACAGAUCCUUUACCAAAUGUACGUUCUCCCAUAAUAAUUGCUCUUUUAUGAUCCUGUAAAGCACCAGCAACAAUUUCGGAUGCGGAAGCUGAACCACCAUUGACGAGAACUACAAUUGGAAUAUUUUUGAACACUUCAGUUGGUUUAGCAGUGAAUUUAAGUUUCGAAUCCUUUAUACGACCUUCUGUAUAAACAAUUAAUCCAUUGCUAAGAAAUAAAUCAGAAACACCAACCGCGGCAUUAAGUAAACCUCCUGGAUUAUUUCUU